UCUUCUUUGUGACUCUCUCAGUGACAUUUCUCUGAACUUGCACCUCUUCGAUUCAAUUCAUCCUCAUCGUCAUCUGCGUGGGCUAGUACAGGGUUCUGGUGUGGUGUGUAAAACGUCGGUCGUAUACAAGAAGCCAUCUUCCGUAAGACGCAAACUUUUGGCACCUGGAGACGAGACUCACUGGAUAAGUCAGGGAUCUAGCGUCAAGGAAGAAAAAUUAUCAACCUCAUCUCGUUCCUUGCAACCUUCCGAGUCAUAAAAUGAGCAUUUCUUUGACCACCCGCUAAAUUUAUUUUUGUUUGGUGACGACCUCCUUGCUGUCUGGAUGUUUGGUCCACUAAGGUCUUCACAUUGUUUUGUGUGAAGAUAGUGAAGACUUCAUUACUAUGAGA